rnacentral:rRNA from 1 species
GAUAAGGGUCUCAUGCGAGACGGGUAGCCGGCCUGAGAGGGCGACCGGCCACACUGGGACUGAGACACGGCCCAGACUCCUACGGGAGGCAGCAGUGGGGAAUAUUGCACAAUGGGCGAAAGCCUGAUGCAGCGACGCCGCGUGAGGGAUGACGGCCUUCGGGUUGUAAACCUCUUUCAGCAGGGAAGAAGCGAAAGUGACGGUACCUGCAGAAGAAGCGCCGGCUAACUACGUGCCAGCAGCCGCGGUAAUACGUAGGGCGCAAGCGUUGUCCGGAAUUAUUGGGCGUAAAGAGCUCGUAGGCGGCUUGUCACGUCGGAUGUGAAAGCCCGGGGCUUAACCCCGGGUCUGCAUUCGAUACGGGCUAGCUAGAGUGUGGUAGGGGAGAUCGGAAUUCCUGGUGUAGCGGUGAAAUGCGCAGAUAUCAGGAGGAACACCGGUGGCGAAGGCGGAUCUCUGGGCCAUUACUGACGCUGAGGAGCGAAAGCGUGGGGAGCGAACAGGAUUAGAUACCCUGGUAGUCCACGCCGUAAACGUUGGGAACUAGGUGUUGGCGACAUUCCACGUCGUCGGUGCCGCAGCUAACGCAUUAAGUUCCCCGCUGGGGGGAGGUACGGA